rnacentral:rRNA from 1 species
UACGUAGGGGGCAAACGUUGUUCGGAUUUACUGGGCGUAAAGCGCGUGUAGGCGGCUUUGCAAGUCGGAUGUGAAAUCUCGGAGCUUAACUCCGAAACUGCAUUCGAUACUGCCGUGCUUGAGGACUGGAGAGGAGACUGGAAUUUACGGUGUAGCGGUGAAAUGCGUAGAUAUCGUAAGGAAGACCAGUGGCGAAGGCGGGUCUCUGGACAGUUCCUGACGCUGAGGCACGAAGGUCAGGGGAGCAAACGGG